rnacentral:rRNA from 1 species
AUUGAACGCUGGCGGCAGGCCUAACACAUGCAAGUCGGACGGUAGCACAGAGAGCUUGCUCUUGGGUGACGAGUGGCGGACGGGUGAGUAAUGUCUGGGGAUCUGCCCGAUAGAGGGGAUAACCACUGGAAACGGUGGCUAAUACCGCAUAACGUCGCAAGACCAAAGAGGGGGACCUUCGGGCCUCUCACUAUCGGAUGAACCCAGAUGGGAUUAGCUAGUAGGCGGGGUAAUGGCCCACCUAGGCGACGAUCCCUAGCUGGUCUGAGAGGAUGACCAGCCACACUGGAACUGAGACACGGUCCAGACUCCUACGGGAGGCAGCAGUGGGGAAUAUUGCACAAUGGGCGCAAGCCUGAUGCAGCCAUGCCACGUGUAUGAAGAAGGCCUUCGGGUUGUAAAGUACUUUCAGCGGGGAGGAAGGCGGUGAGGUUAAUAACCUCGCCGAUUGACGUUACUCGCAGAAGAAGCACCGGCUAACUCCGUGCCAGCCGCCGCAGUAA